rnacentral:rRNA from 1 species
AUUGAACGCUGGCGGCAUGCUUUACACAUGCAAGUCGAACGGCAGCGCGGGCUUCGGCCUGGCGGCGAGUGGCGAACGGGUGAGUAAUGCAUCGGAACGUGCCCAGUAGUGGGGGAUAGCCCGGCGAGGGCCGGAGUACUACCACAUACGAGCUGCGGGUGAAACCGGGGGGGCGAAGGGCAGCGCCCUAUUGGGGGGACGGAUGUCGGGUUUGCUAGUUGGUUGGGUAAGUGGUUACCUAGCCGACGAUCCGUGGAUAGUCGGAGAGGACGACCAGCCACACUGGGACUGAGACACGCACAAUACUCCUACGGGAGGCAGCAGUCGGGAAUGGGGGACAAUGGUGGCAAACCUGAUCCAGCCAUGCCGCGUGCGAGAAGACGGCGUUGGGGUUGUAAACACCGUUUGUGCGGUAAGAACUCCUCUCGGCUAAUACGCCGGGGGGGUGACGGUACCGGAAGAAGAAGCACCGGCUAACUACGUG